rnacentral:tRNA from 1 species
CCGCCGAUAGCUUAGUGGCAGAGCACCUGGCUCUUUACCAGGAGGGCGUAGCGUUCAAUUCCUGCUCGGCGGACCA